UUAGAAAUUAUGACAGCUAUUUAAUAUAUUUUUACUAUUCCACAAAGUUCCUUUUUUCAGUGCACCUCAUAAUAUUUCCGUAAUGUGACUCGGCAUAUUGUGAAACCAAUUGAUUUGUAGGCCUAUAUAAGGCAAAGGCAGUUAUUGAUCCAACGUAACAGCGACAGGUGUGUCUCGUCAAGCCAGCAGCUGUCUUACUUCACCGCAGACCGGAUCUUCUAAACCAUGCUCUGCUUCAGACUCUGCACCACGCUGUUGCUGGCAGCAACAUGUUCACUCAUGACAGCAGGUAAAUUAUCUGAAUUCUCCUUAGAGAAAGCUGUCACCUGUGGCAGUGACGGGAAUGUCCAGAGCCUGAUCUGCGGUAUGACUGAACUCUCAAAGUCUUUGGGUCCACUGAGUGGUACUUGAGGUUUGAAGGUCUUGAUAAACUGACUCAGUAUAGUAGAAACAGUAUUGAGGCAUUAAAACAUUUUGGGCUUUAGUAACCAGAAAAUAUACUGUGGCUGAGAGACUCCCAUCUCUCAACAGCCACAAACUAAUUCCAUCAACUGUAAAACAAA